rnacentral:rRNA from 1 species
CACGGGGGGAGCAAGCGUUGUUCGGAAUCACUGGGCGUAAAGGGCGUGUAGGCGGUCAGGUAAGUGGGAUGUGAAAUGCCCCGGCUCACCCGGGGACCGGCAUCCCAAACUGCUUGGCUUGAGUAUGGGAGAGGAUGAGGGAAUUCCUGGUGUAGCGGUGAAAUGCGUAGAUAUCUGGAGGAACACCGGUGGCGAAGGCGGCAUCCUGGACCGGUAUUGACGCUGAGGCGCGGAAGCCAGGGGAGCAAACGGG